GACGCGCGAAAUCCUUAAAGUCGCGACCCUUCUCCUCGAACUUGUCGACGCCCCACUUCUCUUGGGCGGCUUUGUGGCCGACGUCCCUGAGGCGGGUGCAAGGCUCCAUCUCGAGGUGCGAAGCUUCGGUGAGGGAGACGCGGAUGGUGUCGCCGAGGCCGUCGAGGAGCAGGGCGCCGAUGCCGAUGGAGGACUUCAUGCGUCCGUCCUCGCCCUCGCCAGCCUCGGUCACGCCCAGGUGAAGCGGGUAGUCCCAGCCGAGCUUGUACAUCUCGUGCGCGAGGAGUCGGUACGCCUGCACCAUCACCAGCGGGUUGGACGCCUUCAUGGAGAAGACAAAGUUGUGGUAGUCGUGCUUGCGGCAGAUGCGGGCAAACUCGAACGCGGACUCGAC
rnacentral:lncRNA from 1 species